AACACGUGGAUAACCUACCUAUAAGACUGGGAUAACUUCGGGAAACCGGAGCUAAUACCAGAUAACAUGUUGAACCGCAUGGUUCAACAGUGAAAGACGGUCUUGCUGUCACUUAUAGAUGGAUCCGCGCCGCAUUAGCUAGUUGGUAAGGUAACGGCUUACCAAGACAACGAUGCGUAGCCGACCUGAGAGGGUGAUCGGCCACACUGGAACUGAGACACGGUCCAG
rnacentral:rRNA from 1 species